rnacentral:rRNA from 1 species
GUCCACGCCUAACGAUGUCAACUGGUUGUUGGACGGCUUGCUGUUCAGUAACGAAGCUAACGCGUGAAGUUGACCGCCUGGGAGUACGGCCGCAAGGUUGAAACUCAAAGGAAUUGACGGGACCCGCACAAGCGGUGGAUGAUGUGGUUUAAUUCGAUGCAACGCGAAACCUUACCUACCCUUGACAUGUCAAGAAUCCUGCAGAGAUGUGGGAGUGCUCGAAAGAGAACUUGAACACAGGUGCUGCAUGGCCGUCGU